GAUUAGCUUGCUAAUCUUGAUGGCGACCGGCGCACGGGUGCGUAACGCGUAUCCAAUCUACCCAUGGCUCAGGGAUAGCCUUUCGAAAGAAAGAUUAAUACCUGAUGGUCUCGUUGAGGGACAUCCCUUAUUGAGUAAAGAUUUAUCGGCGAUGGAUGAGGAUGCGACUGAUUAGAUAGUUGGCGGGGUAACGGCCCACCAAGUCUUCGAUCAGUAGGGGUUCUGAGAGGAAGGUCCCCCACACUGGAACUGAGACACGGUCCAGACUCCUACGGGAGGCAGCAGUGAGGAAUAUUGGUCAAUGGGCGAGAGCCUGAACCAGCCAAGUAGCGUGAAGGAAGACUGCCCUAUGGGUUGUAAACUUCUUUUGUUCGGGAAUAAAGUGACCCACGUGUGGGUUUUUGCAUGUACCGUUCGAAUAAGCAUCGGCUAAUUCCGUGCCAGCAGCCGCGGUAAUACGGAAGAUGCGAGCGUUAUCCGGAUUUAUUGGGUUUAAAGGGAGCGUAGGCGGGCUGUUAAGUCAGCGGUCAAAUGUCAGGGCCCAACCUUGGCAUGCCGUUGAUACUGGCGGUCUUGAGUGUGCACAAGGAUGGUGGAAUUCGUCGUGUAGCGGUGAAAUGCUUAGAUAUGACGAAGAACUCCGAUUGCGAAGGCAGCCAUCUGGGGCAUUACUGACGCUGAGGCUCGAAAGCGCGGGUAUCAAACAGGAUUAGAUACCCUGGUAGUCCGCGCCGUAAACGAUGAAUGCUGGACAUUGGCGAUACAGUGUCAGUGUCUGAGGGAAACCAUUAAGCAUUCCACCUGGGGAGUACACCGGCAACGGUGAAACUCAAAGGAAUUGACGGGGGCCCGCACAAGCGGAGGAACAUAUGGUUUAAUUCGAUGAUACGCGAGGAACCCUACCCGGGCUUGAAUUGCAGGUGAACGAUACAGAGAUACUGAGAUCCCUCGGGACACCCGUGAAGAUGCUGCAUGGUUGUCGUCAGCUCGUGCCGUGAGAUGUCGGCUUAAGUGCCAUAACGAGCGCAACCCCUGCUGUCAGUUGCCAUCAGGUAAUGCUGGGCACUCUGGCGGGACUGCCAUCGCAAGAUGUGAGGAAGGUGGGGAUGACGUCAAAUCAGCACGGCCCUUACGUCCGGGGCUACACACGUGUUACAAUGGGGGGCACAGAGAGUUGCUUGGUGGUGACACCUGGCCAAUCUAUAAAUCCCCUCUCAGUUCGGACUGGAGUC
rnacentral:rRNA from 1 species